UUGCCCACUACCCCCUUAUUGUUUCCUCUCAACUACAUCUCCUUUUCGGUUACCACCACCACCAAAACAUCGUCAUCAGGAAAAAUCGCCACGACUAUAACAACGUUCAUCGGCAUACAACAACUUUCGUAAAACAUCGUUUAUUGGAGCCGCACCACCAUUGCUACAUUCCCUUGAUUAUUCAAAUGUUAUUCGGAAAUCGAUUCAGAUACCCUGUCAUGGCCACCAAAAAUCGCUUCCAAAAUCGGUGUGUUCAAGAAAUGUUUGUUCGUUUCAAAAACCGUUGUGUUCUAGAUAUUUGUGUCACCACCGCCCCGCGCUUGAUUUUUAUUUGGGUCUCAUAAAUCGUUGAUCAAUUCCUCAUGUUUGAUUUUAAUUUUUGUCUUUGGUUUUGAUUUUGGAAUCGAGAUAUUGAAAUCGUUUAUAUAUUAGUGUUUUGACAUUUCUUUUGGAAUCUGGAUUUUCAGUAGGUUUUUGUUUUCAUCUUUGAUUUUGAUUUUGAAAUCGAGAUUUUCAUCAGGUUUUAGCAUUUAGGUUUAGGUUUUUGUUUUGUUAAGUUUUGAUUAUAUGUAACAGGUUUAAUUUUGAUUUGGUUUUGGUUUUGUUUUAGUUUGAUUUUCAUUCGGUUCAUCCUCUGUAAAUUGUAGAAACAAACACCAUGGUUAGAAGCUAUUCAGGUAGUCAUGGUGGCUGGUGGAGAUGUGGUGGCAGUGGUGGCUAUCGGAGACGAUGAUGAUGACUGUUUGGUUGUAUGAGUAUAAAUGAUUAAAAUUUAUUAGUGGUGGGCCUUAUCUAGUUUAUAAAAAGGUUAUAAUAACAAAAAUAAAUUAUAAAAAUGUUAAAAAUAAAAUAAAUAAGGGUGAAAGAGUCUUUUUAUGUCUGAUAGGAAUGAAAUACGCAACAAAAUAAAAUUUAAGGAACCAAGUUAAAAAAAAUACUAAGGAUCAAACGUACAAAUUAUCCCUGGUAUAGUUUACUCAAAAACUUUGGUUUGAUCACUUUUCUAAUCCUUCUCUCACUGGUCACUGCAACAGAGGUUUGAAAAAAAUAUUCACUGACAAGUGAUUCCAUUUCACCCUCAAAUCAUCAUAUAAAUAAAACCCUUACCUUAUAACCUAUUCCGACCGGCCGACUACCAUUUUCUUCAUAAAAAUAUCUACGCUGCCGGUGGAGAUAAUCAAUUCUCCAUUUUCAUGAUUCUACCAUCACCGUCGACCAUCGAUCUACACACAGUCCUUCCACCUUCUUCUCCGUUAGAACCCUAAUUUACCAACCUAAUUUAUCAACCAAUACACGCACAACCUAAUAAUUUCGUUAUCAAUAAAUCCACUACCGGUGAUGACGACAAUAGAAGGGCAAGACAGAGUCUUGGCAACGAGGUCAAGGUGGUUUUAACCGGAUUAAGUGAAGCUGCCAUCGGAACAUUCAUGGAGUUCGAGAAUGCCGUCAAAGGUGAAAAUUCCAAAAGGGCUUUACAAGCGGCGAGAUUCAUCCUGUUACACCGUAUGUCAUGAAUUACAUCAAGUUACUGGUAUCUGGUUGAUUAUAGAGAUUCGUUAAACACCCUUUUACCAAACAUUCAAGAACAUGAUCCGUGCUGUAAGGAAGCUGAUGAUAUCCACAGCGGUGAUACUCUCUCCCCUAUUUCUUGCUGUUUGCUUUCUCUAAUCACUUUGUUUAGAAUCAAACCUCGAUGAAAAAUCAAAACUUUAAACCUGGAUACAUAUUUUUGAUGAACAACAUUCUAACUACAUUGUUCAAAAGUUAAAAAAAACUCUGAGCUUUCGGGGACAGAUGGAUCUGUAAACACUGAGGGCAAAUUUGUCAUGGAGAAGGCGUUGUUGUGUAUGAAAGACACGGAAUUGGUGGUGUUGGGUCAAGUAACACAUUGAAGCUGAUUUUAAAAGAAAAAUUCAAGAACUUUAAUGUGUGUUUUGAAGAAAUUUAAAGGGUAGUCACUUUGGAAGGAAGACAUGGAAGUAAAUUUCGAGAGUGGAAGACAUGCUGGAAAAUACUUAAGGUACAAUCCUGAUGAUUAGGAGAAUCAUUUGUUUGAUUUAUUUGAAGGGAAGACUGCUGUUUUAAACAACAUAAGAAGAAAAGGUACAUAGGAAUGAUGCAAUAAUGCAAAAAGACUAUUUGUUAAUAGAUAUGUAUAUUUACUGCUUCUAGUUAUCGUUUGAGUCCAAGUUGUUGAUGAUGAUGAUGAUUUGGUGUUA